UCUUGUUGGUGCUUUGUUAAUUUGUGUUCCACAGCACUCCACAGUGUGUUCCACAGCACAAUCAACAUACAGCCCCGCGAAGAAAAAAGAAUUAAGCCACCAGUCUGGAUUUUUCUUAAAUCGUUAUCCCUAAAUUACUUAUUGAAAAUGCUCUAAAUGACAAUAUUUUUAUUGUUAAUUUGGUAUAAAUGUGGUCAUUAGUUUAUAUUAUAGAAUCAAAAUGUUCAUACUACUCAAACAUAUGCCAAUAAAGAGUAAAACAAGAGACACUGAACAUUUGAAGUGGUCUCUUAAUUUUUUCCGGAGCUGUAUAACCCAGAGUGUGCUCACACAUAAACAAAGUACUGUUCAAACUUGUGUGAUACUGGAAGUAAUUAUAUAAUCAUGCCUAAUCAGUGUGUGUAACUAAUGAAUAUAUGGACAUCUAUUAACAUUGGAACACAUGUUAUGUUGUUGUUUAUGCAGGAUCAACUGUAGCUAUUAAGUUGGAGAGUGUCACUACAAGAACAGCAUUGUUGAAGGAUGUUCGGCAGUUGUCCCCACAGCAUCAGACCUUUUCCCUGGAGGCCUUUCACUCGCUUAUCCUCCACUUUGCACCUAAGCACACUGGCUUCUCCUUCCUUGGGAUGUACAGCAGGUAAAUAGAGUGAUAUUGAAAUGAGUAUGGUACAGUGAGGCUGCAACUGCAUUCAUUUUAAAUUGGUACUUGGAUAUAAGAGCAGCUUGUGAAUUGCUUUUUCUACAGGCUUCUCUUGGCAGCCCUGCAUUACAACCACAAUGGAAGUCGAGAGGUUGCACGAACACAUGACGGCGAGGUUCAAUAUGGAGUUCGUUACCCAAGGUUCCGCAAAGGAGGCUGGGUCGUCCGCCCCGUCAAGGAGAAGCCAUCGUACGCUUAUGCAUCUGCCCUUAUGGAGUCUCUGAUUGAGGCCUACUCUAGGUCACCAAGGAGUCUACAAGAGAGCUCAGCUGACUUGUCCUCCUCUGCACCUGCCCCCCUUUCCACAUCCUUCCAGAUGAUCAGCAAGGAUGAAGCUGUUGGCUUGUAUCUUGCACGACACACACGUUUUAACACAGGAAAUUAGUGUUAAACACUAUUAGGUAUUUCGUACACUAUAUUGUAAAGCCACAUUUAAUCUCAGAGAUAGAUGUGGGACCAUGGAGUUAUGUGGUAUCUGCAUUUGCAACCAAGAGAAAGACACAUCUAUUGGCACAUGGAUCCAUUCAGGGAAAGAUCCCUCUAUACUUGAACUUCUGGAUUCUUAAAUUAUUUCCCCCAUUCUUAUUAUCUGCAUUUUAUUAUUAAUGAAGUUAAUAACAAAACUAUUCUUUCCCUAGGUUUUUUCUGGAGGUUUGGCUGCGGUUACCACCUGGUCCUGCUUGACACCCACGCUUUGGUUGAAAUAAGUUUAUGUUCUAGUCUACAGUUUAUGUAUGCUACACAGGAAUAUUUUAUGAAGUUCUGAUCCUGUAUCUUAGUUUUGUUGCUGUGGUUAAUUUUACGUUUCAAUUUGUCUACCAGUUCCUACGUCACGCUUGAAAACGAGCGUUUGAGAUGCGGAAGUAAAAUUGUAUCACAAAAACGGCUCAAGAUGCCACUUGUAGUGUAGAUUUAUUAAUAAAAACUAAAAA
ensembl:lncRNA